AUUUUGUUUACCUUUAACAAUAUGAGCACUGGUGCUCAUGAAUAUUCAAAGUUCUGAUUUGGCAUAUAAGUAAAAUUUUAUUUAAUUCUUAGGCAUGUUUUGUCAGGUUAGCACGUAGCAUGUCCUCUCAAUUACAAAGUUAUAGGUAUUUCUCUUUCCAUUUGAAGCUCCUUCCUAACAAGCAUUAGUGCACUCACAAAACACCUGUUGCAUCCAGAUAAAUCUAAUAGCAAUUUCAUGUGUUACAUUACAGAAGAUAAACGUGUAAAAUAGAAAGCUAUAAAAGUUAUCACCUGCCCGGAGUCCAUGUUAACCCCCUAAAAACACUUAUUCAGGGUGCUAAACUCAAAUCCAAUAAACAAUAAAUGCUCAGUAAAAGUGUCAAACGUCUUCAAGCCCCUUUUAGUGCUGUAUUGGAGAGCAGCAAAGUGUAUGUGUAUAUAUAUAUAUCUGCUGCCAAAGCAGAACAAACACAUAAAAAAGUUAAAUUAUCUAUUAUAGAAAGAAUACCUAUUUUAUGGGUUGACAUAAUAUCCCAAAAAUUAACAGGCGUGAAUAGUAUGUCCACUGUACAGUAUUUUAGAUUCCACACUUAGAGUAAACGGACAAGAGAUUCCCCAGUUCCUAUGUAGUGAUGUCGGGAACCGUUCGCGAACUUCCCGUGAACUGCUCGCCACGGUUCGCCACGAACCGUUCGUGGCGAGCUCCUGUCACCUGACACAUCCCGGCUAAUCUCCAGCAGAC